UACUGUAGACGAUGUCCUACUGACAGUAUCCUGUUACUUUAUACUUUUAUAAUGUUUAAAUGACAACGGUAUUUUUCUCUGCAUUAAAUAUCCAAGAUUUUUCGAUAUUUUAACGGCAUAAGCUUAAGUUUGAAAUAUUUUUUCGGAUAAAUUUUUUGUCCUCUGUUCAUUGGACGCCAAAUCGGCGCGUCAAUUAAAUUCACGCGCGCGACUGGCGAGAAAUCUCCCAUUGGUCCGCGCGUUAACAACGCGUCAGAAUCUCUAGCAUGCUGGUCUAAAGCGUGUACGGGGCGGAGGGGCGAGGGUGGGCGGUGAAUAGCUCGAAUCGACAUCGUCGGUGUGUUGAUCUUAUACCGUGCUAACUUCUAAUUGCACACAUGCUCGGGCGUCUCGCACAUUCUCUCUUUCGAUAAGGGACGAUUAUCGCCGAUAGUCGGAACAACACCCCCUCACUCUCUCGAGUGCAUACGUGUGCGCCGGGUGUUGCGAGCGAGUGAACGGGCGCGAGACAAUAGUCCCCCUUGUCGUCUGCCGCACCUUAGGAGCCUUUGUGCCGAAAAAAAACACGCCUCGUUUAGCCUCGACCCGGCCCGGCGCACAGUGCGGAACGCAGGAAACGCUGUUAUGUAGUUAGGACAGUAUAUCGCUCCGAUUUUUUAAAUGCUUCAGACGAAAUAUUAAACGGAAUUCUCUUUUGAGUCUUUCGAAACUUUAAUUCUUAAAUUUUUAUCUUUAUUAAUCUUAGCAUCACUUUAUCACGAAAGUAGAAUUACACCUGUUGUGUAGAGUUACAAUUAAAAUAUAUUAAACAUAAAAAUGUAAUGAAACGUAGCAUAAACAUAAUCAUUUUGCUACUUUAAUCAAAUUACAUAUCUCUGUAAGGUGAAAUUUAUUUAUAAUAACUUCCGGAAUAUUUCUUUCUGAUCGCAAUCCGCAGAUUUAUGCAAAAAGGUGCUUUAAUAUAGGAUUAAUAAGUUAUUGACGAACAUCACGUCGCGGAAUGGUGAUCUCGUGAAUUUUAUCAAGAGACCAUGACGAAAGAUUGCUCUCCUCGGCUGGACGAGCUGCAAAUCGCAUUAGAAGAUCUCUGCGAGAUGCGACGGAUGUAAUUAUACGAAAGUUCAUUUUAUUCCUUCGUCUCCGCUGAGGUACGGAAUUGGCUUCCUGAGAUAAAGAGAAGGGGAGGAGAAAGAAUCGCGGGAAGAGGGUAGCUGCGAGAUUCCUCACGAGGAUGCAACUCGCUGAUGAGAGCGAAUCGUCGACCUCUCGAUUACAUAAUCGGGGAUUUAAUUGCGAAGGAGGAGACUGCGAAGAGUUACUUUUACUGUUCUCAGCUCGUAAUCGACACUCGCGAUUUAUUCAGUGUUGACAAGGUAUCUUAAUUGAUAUACAUAGUAUUUAACUAUACAUUAAGUUUAAAUAUUAUAUAAAUUUUUUAUAAAUUUUCAUUAUACUUUUUAACAUUAUUCAACAUUAUAGCUCUUUUCCAGAUGCUUAAAAUUUUAAUUAAAAUUAGUUAUUUGUGUAUGAACAUAUAAACAUUCCUGCGUUAUUUUUAAAUUAUUAUAAUAUAUGCAUUUAUUAUAUUAAAUUACAUGACAUUUUUCACAUUUUUACUUUUAUAACAUUUAAAUGAUAAAUAUAAUAUUUUUGAUGCCACAGAAUUGAAUAAGAAUCAUAAAGUAUGAAAAAUUGUCAAAAGAUUUGAAAGAAGCUCAAUUUUCUGGAAAAUAAAAAUCGGAUGUCCUCUUUAAGUUUAUUAUAUUUUACGAUUGUUAUUUAAGAUAUUAUUGAGAUUCUUGUAAAAUUUUAAUAUCGUGAUUAUAAUCAGAGUCGGAAUUCUCGGAAAUCGAGAAACGCGGGAUACGUUGAUACUUUGGAACAAGGGUGAGUCGAGGAAUUUUGCAAAUUCCGGAGUGUUCCUCCGGGGUACAUCGGAGGCAGGAACGAGGGAUCCUCCUCGCGGAUCUCGCGAACUACCCAAUCAUCUAAUUCCACGAUGUAAUCGCGACGCAUGCGCGUGUUUCUCUCACCCUCCCUCUCCCUCUGCUGGAAGAGCGCUCCGGAGUGACCAGGCCUCGUUCCGGUUUCGACUCAGUGUCUCGGCGCGUUUCGUAUCGCGUGCAUCGCGUCCGCCACAUCUCCCCCCGAGAGCGAUGCAAGAGGAGCAGAGGGCACCGAGGAUGAUCUCGGAGGCGGCAAUUCGCUGGAAGAACGCGGGUCUUACCCGCGUUAUGACGCGGUCUAGCUCGUUCCGAGCUUACCGUAAAUUCAGUGAGCCGUUUUCUUUUUUCGAAAACAAAUCGAGAUGGCGGACGUUGAGCUUCUCUAACAAUUGAAUAAACAGAAAGAGAGAUAAGAAGAAACAGAGGGAGAGCGAGAGAAUCGCGUUGACAGGAAGUUACGCGAAUUCCCGGCGAAAAUUUCGGGCUUUACGACCCUUCGGCGAGUUUCCCCGAGGAAUCGCGAGGAUGCUGAGGAAAAGGGAAUAGGUAAAUAACGAUGCGGUCUCGUUGACGACAAGACUUCGUUGACACUUUGACUGCUGUAGCAAUUGUAUAGCAAGUAACAGAUGCGCAUGUUUUUGUAAUAGUUGGGCAUAGAACAAAAUUGUUACGCUUAUACACAAUACACACACAUUUUCUUUUAAGUAUUUUAAAGAUAAUACAAAUUUAUUCAUAUAGGGUUAUUACAAUUAUUCCAGAGAUUGUGGUUGAAAGACAGAUUUUUAUUUUCUGUUUCUUUCGUUAUACAUUUGCAUUAUGUGUAUUUGUUUAAUCCUUAAUUAGCGACUGAAUAAAUAUAAAGAAGUGAAAUAAAAUCGUAAAGUCGUAAGAGAGCAGAAUCGUAAAAUACACAGGUAUUUUAUAAAAAUACGUAGUUUUUAAUAGAAAGAUUCGUAUUCAUACAUUGCAUCAAGUAACAGUUUUUACAGACGAGACCUUCGUUUCCAUGAAAGUAGUGCCCACAUUAUCGCCCGGCUUACAUUUCCAUUUCUUAUCGCACGAAUUUUCAACUUUGUUUUUUUAUGCACCAGCUGCUGAAUGUAAUCGCGUGACAAAGUGGCUCUCCUUGUAAAUGGAAUUUUCUGGAAGAAUGGUAUUUUCCUGUGCAGGAAAUAUCAUUGGGAUUGCAUUCAUUGCUGCAGAAAGUCAAUAUUUCUGCGAAUCUAUAUACAUAAAUUAUUGUGCAAGAUAUUACAUUUAAAUUAUAAUAUGUAGUUAUUGUAUUACUGCAGAAACAUUACAAUCUUUUUCUCUUAAUUACCAUUAAAUCUUGCAGUACGAACGCUGCAUAGCAACGUUAGACUUACUUCAAACGAUCUAUAACUUGCGUCAGAACUAUGAGAAUAUAAUUUUAUUUAUAAUUUUAUUCGACAUGCAAUAUGAAAAUAGAAGAAUUUACAUUUGAAAAAUCGAAAUGUACCUAGAUGAAAUGCAUAUAUUUGUAUGCAUUAAAUGUAUUACUUUAUUUGACACACACACACACACACACACACACACACACACACACACACACACACACACACACACACACACACACACACACACACACACACACACACACACACACACACACACAUUAAACUAUGUAACAUAUAUGACAAAAUACAAAACAUAUAAGUAGAAUUUGUCUUGAGUUGUAAAUUACCAGUUUGUUUAAAUAUGACUUAGGAAAAUGUGAAAAAAAAAAAAGAAUUUUAAAUUACUUUAUUUGAAGUUUUCCGUCUUGUUUUGCAAAUGCGAAUCGCGCGACUCACGCAAACAUAAUGGCGCCAUGUUGUAAACGUAACAAUCAUAAACUGUACAAAGAUUUACAAUGCGCGGAGAUUAUAUCGUCGUGAUAUUUGCGGUUAUUACAAUUUGUCCUAUUAUUUUCGUUGCCUUUUGUACCACAAGAGAUGAGCGGGACCGGAAAUGCGUUCUCCGGAAAGCGUUUUGACAAAAUCCUGCAGGAUCCUUUUAAAGGAACCGUCCUCACUGUUGUUGGUACAGUUAUGUCGUAGAGGAAAGUUCAGGUCGUAAAAUGGAUGCCCGUGUCGUUUUAUCGCGCUCGUAAAGAAGAGCCCGCUUCGUUCUGCAAUGACUGUCAAAAUCAUUACCCAUCUCACCGAGAACUAGAAAAUAAAAUCAAUACUUGAUUUAAGAGAGGUACAGAUUGGAGAAGAAUUAAAAGGGAUUUUUUCAUUAUAUUGUUAGUAAAUUUUUGUUUAUAUUUUAUAUUGCGUUUUUUAAAUACAUUUUACAUAUCUUUUUUAGUACAAUAUCUACAAAUGAAUGUUAUAUUUUUUUAAUGUUCUUUUAUCUCUUUUUGCAUUUUUGAUAUUUUUACAAAUUAUAUGAAAUAUUUAUAUAACUAUAGUAAAACUUAUAUUGUUUUCGUUAUUAUAAUGUCACCUGGACCAUAAUGGACUCUCCGGGAUAUCGUAUAAUAAUCGAUAGCAUAUUUUUAAAUUAGAGAUUCGCUAAUGUUUUUUUCACUGUUUAAAAAUUACAAUUUAUAUUUGUGAAUUUCAGAAUUUUUUAAUUAUUUUAAUUUUAUCACACACAAACACGGUUAUAUCCAAAUACCAAAGGAAACGUUCGGUGCAUACUAAGGCAAUUAACGUGUCGUUAAUAUCGCGGAUUUACAGUCGCCUGUAUUACGCUUUGUUCGUUCGUUUGCUGGUCACUUGUAAUGUUGCGCAGUAUAUACAUCGUCCUAUCAUAAACGCAUAAAAUCUAAUAUACGAGCAGUCAUGCUUGUCGACGACAUAUUUCACGGGGAGAAGAAUUAAUCUCGGAACUAUGAGUUUUGUCAGUAAAAAUAAAAUUGUAUUGGUUUGCGUCAUAAUUUUUCGCAUAUUUUCUUUCUUAUUUAAUGCUUAUAGGUCGCGAAAAAAUACGUAGUCACUACACAAAGCACCAUUUAUUCAUAUACUCGAUAUUUUAUUGCACAAUGUAUAUAAAUCUUGAUUUAUAUUUUUUUUCUUGUCCAUUCUUUUUUUCUUUCUUUAUCAAGAUGAAUUUGUGACGUUGCGGCUUAAUAAUAGAAUGGAGCGUCUAAAUAGUCGGAGUGUUCUUUUGAUACACUCUGCGGUGCGCAAAUGUCGCAGCGGCAUGUAUGCGCGCGCGGGCGUAUUUGCGGAGAUAGCGGUUAUCUCCGCCAAAUACGCCUCCGCAAUAUCUCGCUCUUCCAGAGCGGGGUAUAAUUACGAUCGAUGCACGAAUUAAUGGGGGCUUGCGUAACGAAUUUCGCAAGCACGAUUGUUAGACUCGAAACCUCACGACACUUUCGUGAGGAAAAGUCCGCGAGGGGUUAAAAAAUGUGAAGUUUUUUCUCCCUCGUCAGAACAACGAUAAAUCUCUGGAAAAAAAUUUAUUUUUCAUCACACAGUUUCUUGGUAUCUUUGAGCUGUUAUUCUGAGUAGUUAAUUAAAUUUGUUUGCCAUGUAUAACAUGGUAGAGCAUUUUUUAAAAGCUUGAUUAAUCCUACUGGCACGCACGUGCAUACAACACACAUUGAAUCACUUUUUAGCAAAAAAAA